rnacentral:lncRNA from 1 species
CGCACCGCCACUUCCGCGGGGCGGGGCGGGCCUUCCGGGCCCGGGGCCAACCGGCUCCGCCUUGGGCUACACAGGCGCGGCUGCUGGCGCAGGCGCAGAGGCGGACGCGGGCGGCCCGAGAUCUGCGGCGUUAGCCCCGCCCCCCGAGAGCAGCAGCGUUGGCCCCCCCCCCGUGCCCGCCCCCCCCAGCUCUGCAGCAUCAGCCCCGUCCCCGCCUCGCGCAGGCUCUUUUAGGUGGGACGGGCCGGGGGCCCCCGCUGUGUUCUCUGUCUAGGACUCUUUCCCUCUCUCCCCCCCACUCCCCACUCACACAUAAGCUCUUGGAACCAAAGCCCGUCGAGUCUGUCUUUGGAGCUCCGUGGCUGGCUACAGUGCCUGGCACAGAGCAGUGUUUGCUGAAUGAAUGACCCCGAGGGAAGUCCUGGGAUUUAGAGCAGCAGGAAGUCCCAGGGAGCCGGCGAGGAUGGCUGGUGCCUCGUCUGCUUCAUCGCACUGGAUUCUCCCGAUUCUGGGAUGGAGCUUCGUUGUUCUUGUUGACGACCGAGCCUGUGGUUUCGUCCCUGUGGGCAGCACCCGGGGAGGAACACCCCUGACCCUUGAAGACCCGCACCUGCUCUGCAGUUUCAUCUCAGAGAACUGCAGAUUAAAGGAACAAAAGGUUUUGAGCUGAACGUGAACCCCAGAGAGCAGCUGGGUCUAGAGAAGAUCCUAGAGAGAUGACUGGCUGUCAUUUAACACAGCCCUGUCGGUCUAUGGAUCAGGAAACAGAGACUCAGAGACAGGAAAUGAACUCUCCAGGGUUGUUCAGGCCUGUUCAACUCUUCAUGACCCCCAUUUGGGGUUCAGAUACUGGAGUGGUUUGCCAUUUCCUUCUCCAGUUCAUUUUACAGAGAAGGAAACUGAGUCAAACAGAGCUCCAGCUCCAGUCCCUUGAAAUCCCUAAGAGACACCAAGUGCUCCCAGAUACUCACAUGAUGACAAACCACCUUCAGACACAACCAUUCUCUGCUUCCUGGUUGCAAAAAAGGCAGCAGAGUGCCCAGAUGAGGGCAUGGACAUGGAGAGGUUUAUGGAGGUGAGUUCUUCACUCAUUUCAGAGGGCAUUCUCCAUUGGGAUCAAAGGCAAGAUUACAUUUAGAGCUUUCUAUACAGGGCCCCAUUUUCUCUAUAGAAUGUCUCACUUGAUGAUCUCAUCAGCCCCAUGGAUUCAAUGACUGGCUCUAUGCAAAUGUUUCCCAGCUCUCCAUCCACAUCCAGGCAUGAUCUCCCUCCUAAACAUCAGUUCCAUAUUACCAGCGGCCCUCUGGACAUCAUGAUCUGGUCCCAGGGACAUCUCAAACCCAACAUGGCCAGAGCAGAGCUCCUUCACUUUCCCACAAAACUCUUCCCUCUCUCUGUCUUUCCCAUUACUGUCAAGGGCCCCAGUGUUCCUCCAGUCCCCAGAGCUCCUCACUCCAGCUCACCCCACCAAUCCCAUUCAUUGGCCAAUCAUGUUUCUACCUUCACAACAUCUCUCAUAUACCCCCUCUCUCCUUCGACAUUGCCGUCCCUCUAGGGCAGGCCAUCAUCGCCUCAAACCUGAACCACUGCAGCAGCCACUUUAAGCCAUCUGCUACCCAACUGCCAAAAUGAUUUACCUAAACCACAGAUCUGACCAUGUCCCCUCCCUUACUCAGAAAACUCCAGUGACUCCCUAUUACCUCCAGUAUCCACCAAAUAUAAAGUCAUCUAGAAUUUGAAUCAAUCAAUCAAUAAACAUUUAUUGAGUACCUACUAUGUGCA